UACAGAGGUCCCGAGCGUUGUUCGGAUUCAUUGGGCGUAAAGGGUGCGUAGGCGGCGGGGCAAGUCUGAUGUGAAAUCCUGGGCUCAACCCUGGAACUGCAUUGGAUACUGCCUUGCUAGAGUACUGGAGAGGAACUGGAAUUACGUGUAGAGCUGAUGAAUCGUAGAGAUCGUAAGGAAGACAGUGGCGAAGGCGAGUUCUGGAC
rnacentral:rRNA from 1 species